rnacentral:rRNA from 1 species
UACGUAGGGGGCAAGCGUUGUCCGGAUUUAUUGGGCGUAAAGAGCGUGUAGGCGGCUUCACAGGUCCGCUGUGAAAACUCGAGGCUCAACCUCGAGCUGUCGGUGGAAACCGUGUGGCUAGAGUCCGGAAGAGGAGAAUGGAAUUCCUGGUGUAGCGGUGAAAUGCGCAGAUAUCAGGAAGAACACCCGUGGCGAAGGCGGUUCUCUGGGACGGUACUGACGCUGAGACGCGAAAGCGUGGGGAGCGAACAGG